rnacentral:rRNA from 1 species
GAUGAACGCUGGCGGCGUGCUUAACACAUGCAAGUCGAACGGUGAAGGCGGAGCUUGCUCUGCUGGAUCAGUGGCGAACGGGUGAGUAACACGUGAGCAAUCUGCCCCUGACUCUGGGAUAAGCGCUGGAAACGGCGUCUAAUACUGGAUACGAGCUGCGAAGGCAUCUUCAGCAGCUGGAAAGAAUUUCGGUCAGGGAUGAGCUCGCGGCCUAUCAGCUUGUUGGUGAGGUAAUGGCUCACCAAGGCGUCGACGGGUAGCCGGCCUGAGAGGGUGACCGGCCACACUGGGACUGAGACACGGCCCAGACUCCUACGGGAGGCAGCAGUGGGGAAUAUUGCACAAUGGGCGAAAGCCUGAUGCAGAAACGCCGCGUGAGGGACGACGGCCUUCGGGUUGUAAACCUCUUUUAGCAGGGAAGAAGCGAAAGUGACGGUACCUGCAGAAAAAGCGCCGGCUAACUACGUG